UCACAUGCACCGGAUCCCCUCAGAACCCCGAAGUUAAGCGAGUUUGGGCGAGAGUAGUACUAGGAUGGGUGACCUCCUGGGAAGUCCUCGUGUUGCAUCCCCUCUUUUUGUCUUUUUGACGUUUCAAUUGUCGUGGGCGUUUGCUUUCCGUCGUCUUAUUCAUCUGGCUGUCUUUGUUUUUCCACGACCCCGUGACGCAGCGUGGCAAUCGGGGAUAAAGUACGCUUAAAUACUCCCAGAAAGCCCACAACGGAAUCAAAAUACGAAAGUGACAAAGUUUCCCGAAACUGAAUUUCGCCCCAGCAAACGGUGUCGGAUGCCCGAAAAAGCCCGUCAGUCAUGGCAGCGCAAUGAGUUUUACUAGUGACGCCGUUCUCUUCAAAUCGACUGCUCGUGGGCCUGAUUCUGAGGUCGGAGCCCAGAUAUGCGGUUCACCCGAUACGCGCGUCGCUCCAGCUGCUCUUCAACUGCUUCCGACGUCACCCCGAGGAGCCCGUCUCCAAUCAACUGGGUGCCGGAAAGGAGCGGGACCGACGCACUGCCGGAAUUAUCGGGGGUUUUUUCGCGUUCAAUUGUCGUUAGGUAGGCCAUUUGGCGUGGCUUAUAUACUUUUAGGCGUUGUAAGCUAACGGAUGCGAUCAUACCAACUCACAUGCACCGGAUCCCAUCAGAACUCCGAAGUUAAGCGAGUUUGGGCGAGAGUAGUACUAGGAUGGGUGACCUCCUGGGAAGUCCUCGUGUUGCGUCCCCUCUUUUUGUCUUUUUGACGUUUCAAUUGUCGUGGGCGUUUGCUUUCCGUCGUCUUAUUUCAUCUGGCUGUCUUUGUUUUUCCACGACCCCGUGACGCAGCGUGGCAAUCGGGGGAUAAAGUACGCUUAAAUACUUCCGAGAAAGCCCACAACGGAUGCAAAAUACGAGAGUGACAAAGUUUCCCGAACUGAAUUUCGCCCCAGCAAACGGUGCCGGAUGCCCGAAAAAGCCCGUCAGUCAUAGCAGCGCAAUGAGUUUUACUCGUGACGCCGUUCUCUUCGAAUCGACUGCUCGUGGGCCUGAUUCUGAGGUCGGAGCCCAGAUAUGCGGUUUACCCGAUACGCGCGUCGCUCCAGCUGCUCUUCAACUGCUUCCGACGUCACCCCGAGGAGCCCGUCUCCAAUCAACUGGGUGCCGGAAAGGAGCGGGACCGACGCACUGCCGGAAUUAUCGGGGGGUUUUUUCGCGUUCAAUUGUCGUUAGGUAGGCCAUUUGGCGUGGGUUAUAUACUUUUAGGCGUUGUAAGCUAACGGAUGCGAUCAUACCAACUCACAUGCACCGGAUCCCAUCAGAACUCCGAAGUUAAGCGAGUUUGGGCGAGAGUAGUACUAGGAUGGGUGACCUCCUGGGAAGUCCUCGUGUUGCAUCCCCUCUUUUUGUCUUUUUGACGUUUCAAUUGUCGUGGGCGUUUGCUUUCCGUCGUCUCAUUCAUCUGGCUGUCUUUGUUUUUCCACGACCCCGUGACGCAGCGUGGCAGUCGGGGAUAAAGUACGCUUAAAUACUCCCAGAAAGCCCACAACGGAAUCAAAAUACGAAAGUGACAAAGUUUCCCGGAACUGAAUUUCGCCCCAGCAAACGGUGUCGGAUGCCCGAAAAAGCCCGUCAGUCAUGGCAGCGCGAUGAGUUUUACUCGUGACGCCGUUCUCUUCGAAUCGACUGCUCGUGGGCCUGAUUCUGAGGUCGGAGCCCAGAUAUGCGGUUUACCCGAUACGCGCGUCGCUCCAGCUGCUCUUCAACUGCUUCCGACGUCACCCCGAGGAGCCCGUCUCCAAUCAACUGGGUGCCGGAAAGGAGCGGGACCGACGCACUGCCGGAAUUAUCGGGGGGUUUUUUCGCGUUCAAUUGUCGUUAGGUAGGCCAUUUGGCGUGGCUUAUAUACUUUUAGGCGUUGUAAGCUAACGGAUGCGAUCAUACCAACUCACAUGCACCGGAUCCCAUCAGAACUCCGAAGUUAAGCGAGUUUGGGCGAGAGUAGUACUAGGAUGGGUGACCUCCUGGGAAGUCCUCGUGUUGCAUCCCCUCUUUUUGUCUUUUUGACGUUUCAAUUGUCGUGGGCGUUUGCUUUCCGUCGUCUUAUUCAUCUGGCUGUCUUUGUUUUUCCACGACCCCGUGACGCAGCGUGGCAAUCGGGGAUAAAGUACGCUUAAAUACUCCCAGAAAGCCCACAACGGAAUCAAAAUACGAAAGUGACAAAGUUUCCCGAAACUGAAUUUCGCCCCAGCAAACGGUGUCGGAUGCCCGAAAAAGCCCGUCAGUCAUGGCAGCGCGAUGAGUUUUACUCGUGACGCCGUUCUCUUCGAAUCGACUGCUCGUGGGCCUGAUUCUGAGGUCGGAGCCCAGAUAUGCGGUUUACCCGAUACGCGCGUCGCUCCAGCUGCUCUUCAACUGCUUCCGACGUCACCCC
rnacentral:lncRNA from 1 species